UACGUAGGGACCGAGCGUUGUCCGGAUUCAUUGGGCGUAAAGAGCUCGUAGGCGGCUGCUCAAGUCGAAUGUGAAAACUCGAGGCUCAACCUCGAGCCUGCAUUCGAUACUGGGCGGCUAGAGUCUGGUAGGGGGAUCUGGAAUUCCUGGUGUAGCGGUGGAAUGCGCAGAUAUCAGGAAGAACACCCGUGGCGAAGGCGGCUCUCUGGGACGUGACUGACGCUGAGACGCGAAAGCGUGGGGAGCGAACAGG
rnacentral:rRNA from 1 species